AAGCAAUGUGCAUGUUUGUAAGGUCCCAUCUCACAAGAGAGAACUCGCUUCUCCUGCUAACCUAAAUGGAAUUGAACUUUAAAAGGACAGGACCAUGUAUAACCUGGAAAUCUCAAAAUAUUGAAUGAAACCCAUGUCCUGCUUACACUACCAAAUGUUUACUGAAGAGGCUCAGCUGGGGAAUGAAAGAUUACGGCAAAGAACUGGGGAACUCAGCUAAUACUUAUUGAGCUCUCUCACAUGCAUUGAAGGUGGCGAGGUCUGCUCAGAGAACAACCUGAAGUUCCCAGAGUGAAAUCAGAAUGGUCGGUUCGGCUGUGAUUGGCGAAUCAAGCCUGGUAAACAACUGUGGAACUUCAAAAACAAUGGCUGCCCAGUUCAUGCUCCAAACUGAUUGAAUAUGAAUAGUUGUGUGAUCUUAAUGGGUAGCUUCGGUGAGAAUCACUGCAAUAAAGAUUAACUGUUUAUCAUUCAUUAUUAGCUUGUUAUUAACAUUAAUACUGUAAAACAUAUUAAACCUUUUCUCUGAGGAAAGUCUAGGGAGAACAUAAAUGGGACCAUGGAUUUUAUCAGACCUUUCUUUAUACUUGCUAUUAUGAUGUUUGGG
ensembl:lncRNA